rnacentral:rRNA from 1 species
GAUGAACGCUGGCGGCGUGCCUAAUACAUGCAAGUCGAGCGAACAGAUGAGGAGCUUGCUCCUCUGACGUUAGCGGCGGACGGGUGAGUAACACGUGGAUAACCUACCUAUAAGACUGGGAUAACUUCGGGAAACCGGAGCUAAUACCGGAUAAUAUAUUGAACUGCAUGGUUCAAUAGUGAAAGACGGUUUUGCUGUCACUUAUAGAUGGAUCCGCGCCGCAUUAGCUAGUUGGUAAGGUAACGGCUUACCAAGGCAAGGAUGCGUAGCCGACCUGAAAGAGAGAUGCGCCAGCCGGGAACAGAGACAGGGUACAGACAACUACGGGAGGAAGCAGUGGGGAAUCUUCCGCAAGGGACGAAAGGGUAAUGGAGCAAAACCGCGGGAAGGAUGAAGUACUUAGGCCCGUAGAACGCUGUUGUUAGUAAGAAAGAAAAGGGCAAGUAACGAUGACGGUAAUGACGGUACCCGAACAAAAAGCCACGGCUAACUUCGUG